GACUAUUAAGUAACAAUUUCCAUGAAGUACAAAAUAAAUAACAUAAACAAAGAAGAAAUAUAGUUGAAAUUUUAUGCUCAAGUGACAUAACACCGCAUCUAAAUCUUAUUAAGGUGAUAUCAAACUGUCAACAGAGAGAGACAAACUAAAGCGGUUACAAUGUUAACUGUCUGAUUUAUAACCGUCUUCCCCAAUAUGGAUAAUUGUUUGAAAACAUACGGGGCACCCAUUUUCUAGCUACGAAGCGAGUAUAGCCGGACCCAUAUUUUAUCAUGUCAUUUCGAUAAGAAAUCGCAUCUUCCCAGGUCCAAUCAAGCUGGUUCGGUGGAUAAAUUUUGGACAGAAUGAUAGUGUCUCUACGGAACAGAGACAGGAACAGGUAUGAAAUACCUUUCUUGUAACGAAAUGCCUGUCCUACUUGUAUCAUCCAUGCAGAUUUCGGAAGCUGGGAAACAGGCAUAUGAAUCAAACCACAAAUGUAUAAUCAAAUUCUAAUUCAACAAAAUAAUAAAUAAUAAUAAAUAAAAUCGAGAGAAUGUACACAAAGAGAAAGAAUAAGAGAAUGCCGACUGAGACUGUACACUUUAGGUUUAUGUUUG
rnacentral:lncRNA from 1 species